rnacentral:rRNA from 1 species
GAAGGUGGCCUGUGAGGGUUGCUGGAGGUAUCAGAAGUGCGAAUGCUGACAUAAGUAACGAUAAAGCGGGUGAAAAGCCCGCUCGCCGGAAGACCAAGGGUUCCUGUCCAACGUUAAUCGGGGCAGGGUGAGUCGACCCCUAAGGCGAGGCCGAAAGGCGUAGUCGAUGGGAAACGGGUUAAUAUUCCCGUACUUGGUGUUACUGCGAAGGGGGGACGGAGAAGGCUAUGUUGGCCGGGCGACGGUUGUCCCGGUUUAAGCGUGUAGGUGUGUGUUCCAGGUAAAUCCGGUUCACUUUAACACUGAGGCGUGAUGACGAGGCACUACGGUGCUGAAGCAACAAAUGCCCUGCUUCCAGGAAAAGCCUCUAAGCAUCAGGUAACAUCAAAUCGUACCCCAAACCGACACAGGUGGUCAGGUAGAGAAUACCAAGGCGCUUGAGAGAACUCGGGUGAAGGAACUAGGCAAAAUGGUGCCGUAACUUCGGGAGAAGGCACGCUGACACGUAGGUGAAGUGAUUUACUCAUGGAGCUGAAGUCAGUCGAAGAUACCAGCUGGCUGCAACUGUUUAUUAAAAACACAGCACUGUGCAAACACGAAAGUGGACGUAUACGGUGUGACGCCUGCCCGGUGCCGGAAGGUUAAUUGAUGGGGUCAGCGCAAGCGAAGCUCCUGAUCGAAGCCCCGGUAAACGGCGGCCGUAACUAUAACGGUCCUAAGGUAGCGAAAUUCCUUGUCGGGUAAGUUCCGACCUGCACGAAUGGCGUAAUGAUGGCCAGGCUGUCUCCACCCGAGACUCAGUGAAAUUGAACUCGCUGUGAAGAUGCAGUGUACCCGCGGCAAGACGGAAAGACCCCGUGAACCUUUACUAUAGCUUGACACUGAACAUUGAGCCUUGAUGUGUAGGAUAGGUGGGAGGCUUUGAAGUGUGGACGCCAGUCUGCAUGGAGCCGACCUUGAAAUACCACCCUUUAAUGUUUGAUGUUCUAACGUGGACCCGUGAUCCGGGUUGCGGACAGUGUCUGGUGGGUAGUUUGACUGGGGCGGUCUCCUCCUAAAGAGUAACGGAGGAGCACGAAGGUUGGCUAAUCCUGGUCGGACAUCAGGAGGUUAGUGCAAUGGCAUAAGCCAGCUUGACUGCGAGCGUGACGGCGCGAGCAGGUGCGAAAGCAGGUCAUAGUGAUCCGGUGGUUCUGAAUGGAAGGGCCAUCGCUCAACGGAUAAAAGGUACUCCGGGGAUAACAGGCUGAUACCGCCCAAGAGUUCAUAUCGACGGCGGUGUUUGGCACCUCGAUGUCGGCUCAUCACAUCCUGGGGCUGAAGUAGGUCCCAAGGGUAUGGCUGUUCGCCAUUUAAAGUGGUACGCGAGCUGGGUUUAGAACGUCGUGAGACAGUUCGGUCCCUAUCUGCCGUGGGCGCUGGAGAACUGAGGGGGGCUGCUCCUAGUACGAGAGGACCGGAGUGGACGCAUCACUGGUGUUCGGGUUGUCAUGCCAAUGGCACUGCCCGGUAGCUAAAUGCGGAAGAGAUAAGUGCUGAAAGCAUCUAAGCACGAAACUUGCCCCGAGAUGAGUUCUCCCUGAGACUUAGAGUCUCCUGAAGGAACGUUGAAGACGACGACGUUGAUAGGCCGGGUGUGUAAGCGCAGCGAUGCGUUGAGCUAACCGGUACUAAUGAACCGUGAGGCUUAACCUUACAACGCCGAAG